GCGCUCGUCGUUCAACGGAUAGGACGCAGGCUUGCGGAGCCUGUAAUAGAAGUUCGAUUCUUCUCGAGCGCA
rnacentral:tRNA from 1 species